rnacentral:sRNA from 1 species
ACCCUCUCUCUCUUCUCUCUCUCCCUCUCCCUCUCUCUCUCUUUUAAAAAAUCAGCCAUUUGGGGUUUUAAGCCAUAAACGAUUUUUCUUGUUGCAGGGGAUUGCAGUGGCAAAGCUAGGCUAGGUCUUGGAGGCUGGUGUAAGGCGAUGCGGGUGAAGGCAGGAGGCUGAUGGAAAGACUGGGGGGAAGAAAAGCCGAAAUGGAUUCACGGUGCCUUGGAUGAAGGACGAGAGGGGAACUGCAAGCUCCUUCAACUGGUUCUGUCCGGUGAGAAGUGAUCAAGCUUGGGCUGACAAGAGGCUCAGGGAGCCCUCACGUUCUUUCGCUUUUUUACCUGCCAAUCAAACUGCUACAAGACAACACCCUGAUCUGGCAUGGACAUAUCCAACUUAGAAAUAAUGUUUCAUUCAAGAUAAGGCUCGUGAUUUAGGAGAUUGUGACCUGGCUUGCAUCAUUCUAAGACUUCUAUCAUCUGUUUUCAAAACCCAAGGAGGACCUCAUUUUCUGUGUGAUAGUUCCUCAUGCUUUGCCAGCCACUGUGUCUUUAAGGAAGCUUGCCAAGAGUUCCUGGCUGGGAAGGACAGUUCGAGUUCAUCAUAGACAAUGAGCUGGCACCACAUUUUAAGUGACUCACCAACCUGGUUGCCCACUUCAAAAUGUCAAGAACCACACUAUCUAAUUGAAAGAACUGUGUUUUAGCAAAGUGUAAUUGGAUCACCUGGCAAGAUCAUCUCAAACUGUGUCUCUGACCUUGCCUUUCAGUGGCUGUUUUGAGCACAAGAGGAGAAAGGAAAUGAUUCCUGAAUUAUAUCUUGUUUUUAAAAAUUAAGAUUAAUUAAUACUUGGUUUUAUGUUCAUUCCAUUGUAGGAACUUCAUGAUUAUUACAAAACAG